UACAGAGGGUGCAAGCGUUGCUCGGAAUUAUUGGGCGUAAAGGGUAGGUAGGUGGUCUCAUUUGUCGGGGGUGAAAGCCUUGGGCUUAACCCAAGAAGUGCCUUCGAAACGGUGAGACUGGAGUCCUGGAGAGGGUCGUGGAAUUCCCGGUGUAGCGGUAGAAAUGCGUAGAGAGUCGGGAGGAACACCAGAGGCGAAGGCGGCGACCUGGACAGGUACUGACACUCAACUACGAAAGCGUGGGGAGCAAACAGG
rnacentral:rRNA from 1 species